rnacentral:lncRNA from 1 species
UCAAAACCAAGGAUUUAACCCCGGGAAUCUCGGGACGAGAUUCUGUUAAGGGGGAGAGGCUGUAACAGCUGCCAUUUUAGUCAUCAAAGUGACUUGGAGGAGUUGGAAGCAAUUCGAGAAGAAAGGAAAAAGAAAUUGACCGAAAAUCAAAUUCGGGUCAAAUUUGGCCGAAAUUUGAAUUUUGAAUCUGAAAUUCAGAAAAAUUCGGCAAAAAUAUAUAAUAGAAGUGUAAAGAUGAUUAGAACUCAAGGGUCAAAAAUUUGGAAUAAUAUUUGAUCCUAAACACUCAAAAGAAAUUAGAGAAGGAAAUGAAAAACUACAUUUACUGUUCACUAUCCG